CUCUUCCGGAUAGUUCACUCGACGGAUCUCUCUUCUUCUGUCCUCUGGAACCCUAACCCUAAUCUUCAUCGUCCUACAAUAAUGUCUCAUUUUGGAAGGUCAGGUCCUCCAGAUAUUACAGACACCUACUCGCUUCUCGUGCUCAACAUCACCUUCCGCACCACUGCUGAUGACCUCUACCCGCUUUUCCACAAGUAUGGUAAGGUUGUCGAUAUCUUCAUCCCCAGAGAUCGAAGGACUGGUGAUUCUAGAGGUUUUGCAUUUGUGCGUUACAAGUACGCAGAUGAAGCUCAGAAAGCAGUGGACAGGCUAGAUGGCACUGUGGUUGAUGGACGAGAGAUAACUGUCCAGUUUGCUAAAUAUGGUCCAAAUGCUGAAAAAAUUCAGAAAGGAAAAAUCAGCGAACCAUUUCCAAAGUCAAGACACAGGUCUAGAAGUCGUAGUCCACGGAGACGAUAUCGGGAUGAUUACAGAGAUAGGGACUAUAGGAGGAGAAGCAGAAGUAGAAGCAGAAGCUUGGACAGGAGUGAUCGUGAUAGGCGGGGGAGAGAAAGAGAGAGGGAAAGAGACUAUCGCAGGCGGAGCAGGAGCAUCAGUCCCAGGCGGCCUAGUCCUGAUUACUCCAAGGGGAGGGGAAGAGGACGCUAUGUAGAUGAACGUAGAAAUCGCAGUCGCAGCCAUAGCCGAAGUCGUGGCCGUAGUCGUUCUGUUAAUAGUGCUUCUCCUGGUAGACGAAGCCCUAGUCCUCGAAGGAGUCUGUCUCCUCGAAGGAGUCUUUCACCACGAAGGAGUCUUUCACCACGAAGGAGUCUUUCACCACGAAGGAGUCUUUCACCUCAAAGGAGUCUUUCACCUCGAAGGAGUCCAUCUCCAAGGGGUGAAAGUCCUGAAAGAAAUGGUGAUGGUGGAAGGUCUCCAACUCCUAGGAGUGUUUCACCACGAGGUCAACCUGUUGAUUCACGAAGCCCAUCUCCACAAAACUCGGAUGUUGAUAAGUGAAUACUGAUGGAUGCAAGGAGAGCUGUGGACAUAACCGAGCAGUGCAGGAGUGAAUGCUCUGAGGACACUCGAUUAAAAAUGUUGACUAUAAGUUCUAGUUUUGUUAUGUUCGGGAUAAGAUUGAAUGGCGCCUGAUUGGCGGAUGUUGAUUUUGUGGCUGUUGAUGCUGUUUCUAUGUGAUAGAUGGGUGAUCGUGACUUUGAUGCUGGUUGCAGCAGUUUGCUGAUUUAUCAGUAUGAUUGUCUAUGCAGUAUGAUGUUGCUGUGGACAGUGUCUUUACUAAUAUUCACUGGAUGAUAAUAUAUCGGUAAGGUUUAUGGUCACGUUUAAAUGUUUUUAGAAACUCAAUUAUGCUUUAGGGUUUGAUAUUUGACCUGAUUAAUCCAUCUGGCCUAUCCAAAUUUUGUAAUGUUUCGCCUCACCUGCAAGGAGAUCUAGAGGGCUUUGAUAUAUAGGUUUGACCCCACCUAUGUUGAUCAAUUUUUAUACUCGGCUGAUGAUGCAUUUGAGAGGUACUGAUAUUAAUGGCGAAGGCUGGUUUAAGAAAACUUAGCUGCAGGUUUGAACUUCGCAUCAGAACAUGAGUAGCCAUGGUAAACAUAAGUUUAUAGUUUUGUGUAUUGUUUGAAGGGGUGGAUUUAAACUUGCAGGUUAUUAUCCCAAGCUUUUAGAUCAAUCUCUUGCUGCUUGAUGUGCUGACUGACUUAUUGUAGUUUUUGGGAUACACAUUGUUGCUGUGGUGUUUGAUAGCAGAUACCUCGAUUGAUGUACGAUAGACAUUGGCUCGACUGAUUGAUUCUGUAGCGGCCUGUUGCUGCCCUUGAGGGGUGAGGCUGGCAAUGAUGUUUGCAGUUGCUUUGACAUUGCUUGCAUUGAAUGUUUGCUUAUAAAGUUCUGCAUGUAAAAUUGUAUACCUCACGUCUAAAAGAAAAUUUAUUAAAUAAAAAUUCUACCAUUAGUUUGCAACAUUCAACGCCAGUGCACGUGUACAGUUUUGUGAGGGUUGGUCGGAUUGCUAUUUGUUUGGUUUAUGCUGCUGUUUUCUGCAUCUACUUGGUUUUGGGUUGAGACAUAUUGCCCGUCUGAUUUUGUCUAUUGCUUUUUCUGUGUUCUCUAAAGUGAUAUUUUGAAUGCCUCAAUUGGCAGUAAGGCUUAUAUAACUAAAAUUGUCAGUAUUUUGUUGAGUAUUCGUCCAAGUUUUGUUUUUUCUCCUAACAAAAUGAGAAAUAUUAGCAAAUAUUGGUCUGCACUCCGGGAAGUAUCGUUCAUUUAUUCCCAAAUGCCUGUACACAUGCACAUAUGUAUAUAUUCCCUUCAGUUUGCCCUACGUAGGACAUUUUCUUGCUAGUGAAGUGGUAGUCUUUUCUCUUCUUUUUUUUUUUCUUUUUCAUUUUUCUCCUAGAAAUGGACUUUUAAGAUAUGUGGUUCAGGGGCUUGGUUGCAGCAGGUAAGCACUGAGAUCCUGAUGGAUAUGCCAUGUAGCAAGCGAGCUGGAUAUGUAGAUAACAAUGACAAGUUUGAUUGUGUUCGCCUUCUUGGUAAAUAUUUGGUAGGAACAUACAUAGAGUGGUAGAUUUUCCAAUUUGUGUUUUGAGUUUGAUUUUAAAAUUAAGAGUAUCUUGUCGUAGGGUAGGUUUAGUCCAAUUAAUGGUAUAUGCAUCGUUUGUUUCCCAUUAAUUUCUUACCAUCAUUAGAUUCUAAUGAAUUAAUAUGUAUUAAUCUUAACUAGUAAUGUCUAUAUGUUUAAUAGGUUAAUCUUCUGUUACAAUGAACAACUUUGUGUUAAUAAGUUACCAUGUAUUUGAAUAACGUAUGAUUUGAUAUUACAUCAUAUUUGAUAAUUCAAUUUUUUGAUCUUUUAAUAUAUGUAGAGACUAAAUUACAUGUCUAACUUCAUCAUCAUCAUUAUUAUUCUGUUCUAAAGUGCUCUUUGAAAUGUUUUGGGGCAUUAUUUAGAAGUGCCAAUGUCUGUACACACUUAGAGGCCUGUAGAAGAUGAACUUACACAGGAGAGUUGAUUAUUCAAUGCUCUGCUGAUCUAUCAUGGGUAUUGUCCAAAUUAUUAUCACAUGUCUCAAUCUUUGAUUCUUAUACCUUUACUGAGUUCAAUGAAUCAAAUGGAGAGUCGGUCGUUCAAAUUUGUAGAAAGUUAAACAGGUUGACUUUUGUUCAUUGUAAGCUUUGAACCAUUCACUUCAGUUAAUGUCUUUGACUCAAGCUUAUGCGUUGGAGAUCUGUUAAGUAUCAUUUUUCUCCAUCAAUAUUUGUGUGUUGUAUGUGUGUGUUUUAAUGAGUUGAUUUAGGUGUUCAGGAUGAACAUGAUGGUGGUGAUUGAGCAAAACAACAUAUGAGAGAGGAUCAAAAGUUUGAGCAAAGGAAGGAGUUUGAUUCUUUUUCGUUGUCUCGUUAUCCUCUUCGAAUGAUUUGCUAGCCUAAUGACACAACUCUCGAGUCGAUUAAGCGUCGGAGAGAAUUAAAUGAGGUAUGAGAGUAUGUGACUUGAUUGUUGAUUUUGUUGUAUGUAAUUACAUACUGUGAUGAAUCAAGUUAUGUUUGGAAGGUUGAUAACUCAUAAUUUGAAAUAAGUUGUUAGUGUUAUAUUA